rnacentral:rRNA from 1 species
AGAGUUUGAUCCUGGCUCAGAAUCAACGCUGGCGGCGUGCCUAACACAUGCAAGUCGAACGAGAAAGGGGAGCAAUCCCUGAGUAAAGUGGCGACCGGGUGAGUAACACGUGACUAACCUACCCUCGAGUGUGGAAUAACAUCGGGAAACCGAUGCUAAUACCGCAUAACAUCGCAAGAUCAAAGGAGCAAUCCGCUUGAGGAGGGGGUCGCGGCUGAUUAGCUAGUUGGCGGGGUAACGGCCCACCAAGGCGAAGAUCGGUAGCCGGCCUGAGAGGGCGCACGGCCACACUGGAACUGAAACACGGUCCAGACUCCUACGGGAGGCAGCAGUGGGGAAUUUUGCGCAAUGGGGGAAACCCUGACGCAGCAACGCCGCGUGGAGGAUGAAGCCCCUUGGGGCGUAAACUCCUUUCGACCAAGACGAUGAUGACGGUACUGGUGGAAGAAGCACCGGCUAACUCUGUGCCAGCAGCCGCGGUAAUACAGAGGGUGCAAGCGUUGUUCGGAAUUAUUGGGCGUAAAGGGCGCGUAGGCGGCGCGACAAGUCACCUGUGAAAUCCCCGGGCUUAACUCGGGGCCCGCAGGCGAAACUGUCGUGCUGGAGUAUGGGAGAGGUGCGUGGAAUUCCCCGGUGUAGCGGUGAAAUGCGUAGAUAUCGGGAGGAACACCUGUGGCGAAAGCGGCGCACUGGACCAUAACUGACGCUGAGGCGCGAAAGCUAGGGGAGCAAACAGGAUUAGAUACCCCCGUAGUCC